rnacentral:rRNA from 1 species
GUCCACCAGAAGAUUACGAGCGAAAGCCUAAAACUCAAAAGACUUGACGGUGCCCCAACCUACCUAGAGGAGCCUGUUCCAUAAUCGAUAUUCCCCGAUCAACCCAACCACCCCUUGAAAUUACAGCCUAUAUACCGCCGUCGUCAGCCUGCCUUCUUAAAGAGACAAAGCAAGCUAAAUAGCGACCCGCUAAAAAGUCAGGUCAAGGUGUAGCUAAUGGUGUGGAGAUAAUGGGCUACAUUUUCUAAUAUAGAACACACGAACUAGCGCCUGAAAUUAACUACAAAGGUGGAUUUAGCAGUAAGCCAAACAAGAACAUUUG